UGUUUACAGGAUAUUAUGUUGGCUUCAAGUUUAUUAUUUUGUAAUAUUUUGUACAAACUUGUUAAGUUAUUUGUUCAACUACACUACAAACUUUGUACAGUAGAUAAAAAGACUUAUUGAUAGAAUAGACUAGUAUGUAAAAUGAUGCAUUUUAGGACUUAAGACUAAAACUCAAUUUUUUAUCUUUCAAUAUAAUAAGCAUCUUAUAUUUCAUAAAAAUUGGAGGAACAUAAAGGUGUACACAUUUUAUCCAAUAACAUCAAAAGUUUUGAUCAAUUUCAUCUUGUAUUUCUUGUUCGUAAUAAGACAUAACUAGAGAUAAGAUAAAAUAGAACUCAUAAGUAUCACAAAAUUAAAUUAUUUGCUUGGUCGAUACUAUUUUGAAGAGAACAAAAACCAGACAACAUAGUUCACUUUGUUCCACACAUGCAAAGACCUCUCUCCGUAUUAGCAUUAUGUGAGCUAAUAUAAGAUGACAAAACAAUUACAGAAUUUCCUAGAUAUUAGAGCAGCAUUAACGCAAGCUCCUAACCACGUCUCUUAGCAUUAAUGGGAUUUAAAAAAAAAGGAAAUUAGUAUAAUGGAGAGAAGACGUAUCUUAAUUAGGAGAAAUAAGAGACGUGUUUUCUUGGACACGUGUUGUGUUUUGCGGGCUUUGUGACUCUCUCCUUCGCUCCAUUUCGUUGCCGCGUCUCUCCAUCUCUCCUCGACGACUCCGGUGAUUUCUUCAUCUCGUCACGAUCGGAUGAAGGAUUAGGCGUCACUCUCGAUUCCUCACGUUUUCGUCUACGAAGACUCUCGGUUCCUCUCCUACCUCACCGUCGACCGUAGUCACUAACGGAAGGAGCUUCGAUCCUCAUCUCGAUCCAUAUCCACUCGAGCAGAUCUCUCUUCCCACCGCGAUGUCGAAAGCUCCGACGUGAACGUGAUCCGUCCCAAAGAGUAUUGGGAUUACGAGUCUCUCAAUGUUGAGUGGGGAGCUCUGAACAAUCUUGGGAGCAUCUACAUCGAUUGUUCGAUGCUAGAUCAAGCUGAAACUGCAUACAGGAACGCUCUAGAGAUCAAACACAUUCGUGCUCAUCAAGGCCUAGCAAGAGUUUACUUCCUGAAGAUUCAACGUAAAAGAAGCGUGCGAGGAGAUGACAAAGCUGAUUGAGAAGGCGUUUAGCAAAGCAGCAGCCUAUGAGAAACGGUCUGAGUACUGCGAACGUGAAAAAGCCAAAGAGGAUCUCGACAUGGCCACAACACUUGACCCUCUUCGAACCUAUCCUUACAGAUACCGAGCUGCUGGUAAACUAAACUCUUCUCUUUGCCUGUUGAUGUAAAGAUCGUAGUUGCUCUUUGUAUCGUUUACAAUCGGUAGAUAGAUCUAGGAAAGCAAUGAAGUUGUGUUUUCUUGGGAAUCGGAUAAGCUCGUACCAUUGUCGUCUCUGUCUUGUGCUGUUCCCUCAUAGUGGCUUCAAUACAUCAUUUUUAUGUUCCCUUAUAGUGGCUUCAAUAAAAAUGAUUUUUGAGUUUUAGCAAUGAUAGAAGCUGUGUUAAUGACUUGGGUAGCUUCUCCACUGUUUUCUUGAGGCAUCGAUUGAAACAGGUGAACUUUAUGUGAUAGUUAGCAUGCUCUGCAUUUUCAUUUCAUUACUCUAAAUCUUUGCAACGAUAUAAACAGAGACGCACGUUUUUCUCUGUGUGUCUUCAUGCUCACAUAUGUUUUAUUAGCUGAAUAUAUGUCGUAGUAGUGUCUUA